rnacentral:tRNA from 1 species
UUCUAAUAUGGCAGAAUAGUGCAUUGAAUUUAAAUCUCAAAUAUAAGAAAAUCUUUUUUAGA